ensembl:lncRNA
CGGGAGGGACGGGCCCGCAAAGUCACCCGCGGCCGCGGCGCGGGAGCGCCUGGGUCGCUCGGCCUGGGCCCCGAGCUUUCGCGUGCCCGGCGGCCUUCUGGAGCCAUGCACCCUUCCCCGCCCGAGACGCGGGGCUGUCGCGUGGGACAUGCUGCGUGCUGCCCCGGGGUUUAGCAUGCCGCGGGCGGUGCGCAGGUGACAGGGCCUGCCGAGCUCCUGGAGCGGAGCCCCCGAUCGUGGCAGAGCCCAGUUUUGAUUGCUCUUUCACCCCCUUUCAGUUUUUGUCGUCUAUAGACAAGCUGUGGACACUUAACGUAGUAAAAGUCCAGGAGGUUAAGCGGGGAGGGGGCAUGCGGUUCGUUGGAAUGAUUUAAGUAAACGUGGUUCCUGCUGAUAAUUACCUGGGCUGGAUACUUGGAUAUCUAGGUUGGAUACUGCGUGCAAGUUCCGAAGAAUGGGUUUUAUACAUCUCUGGGUCUUUGCUUGUUUUAAAAAAAACGGUGGUAGAAGGUUGGUGAGAGGGUGAGGGCAAGCAGUUUUGGUAAUGGUGAUGCUGUGGAUGCUAUACAAUCAAAUCCCCAAGCUAGAUUUCUCCUGUGCAAUAUAAGACCCGUGCUGGAACACCUUGACUGUUUCCUAGGCUUGGAAUGUAAAGGGGAAAGAUCUAGCACUCUGCCUCCUGAAGGUCAGAUCUCCCGUCGGUUAGGUUGGAUUGACCCAUUCGUAAACGGUCUCAGGAUCUUUGUGCCCUUUCUUUGUGACAAAAACUGUUUCCGGAAUUGUGCCUUUGCAUAUCUGUAGUAAGCAUCGAGUACUCUUGCUGCUCUGUACAGUCUGACUUUGUCGUUGAACCUUCCAUGAUUACAUUCUACUGUAAUGAAAUUUGCCCGGUUGAAAUUUGAGACCUCUCAACCAUAAAGGUAGGUGUUUUCCAGUUCCUUCCAGCAGUUCCUCUUGGGCACAUUGUGUUAUCUCUGAAUAGCUGUGAAUAGUGUCCCAUCUUCUGGGUAAAAGGAAGACUGCCUCACACAGUCUACAGGCACAUGAGCAGGGGCAUAUGAACUCUCUUGAAAAGAGCUAAUGAUUUUUUGUUUAGCUCAACCUAGUCAUUUGCUGGGGAGAGUUCAAAGGCAGCAUUGUCCCUUAACACUUCUGUGAUGUUGGAAAUGUCCUAUAUUACACAGUAGCUACUAACUACGUGUGACUAUUGAGCGCUUGAAAUGUGGCUUGUGUGACUGAGGAACUGAUUUUUAAUUUGUUUAAAUAGCCACAUGUGGCUAGUGCCUACCAUAUUGGACAGUGCAGUAAGACCCUAGAAUAACGCUGGAAUGACAUAAGGUUAGGUGAAAAAAGCAGAAUACAAAAGUAUAUAUUAUUAUUUAACAAAUUGACAUGAUAAAAAAUUUUAAGUUCUAUACAAAGGAAAAAACACUGAUAAUAACCACACCAAAAUACUAGCAGUGAAUUAUAUUAGGAUGGAGAAAUUAUGUGUGGGUGUCCUUCUCUCUUCAUGUUUAAAAAAAUACUUUAAAAACUUUUAUAAUACAAGUGUAUAUGAUAAACUCGAGCACGGAAGUGCUCUGAGACUAAAAGAAUGCUUCAGGAAGAGAAUACAUUGGUUGAACAGAGCCACCUAGAUUUUUCUCCACAAGAUUCACAUUUUGUAUUUUGCCCAGAGGAGCCUGGUUUCUAACGGUUUACUGUCUGGUGCUCUUUAUGAUCAGUUGUACUGUCAACAAAAGUAAAUUGAGAAAACAUUCCACAAAUAAUACAUAUGUACUGUGUUGGAAAGAGGUUAUGCUUUUAGGAAUAACUUUUAUGUGUUUUUGGCAGACCUAAAAAUAUACACAGUAUAUUACAAAAAACAGAAGAGAAACGCCUUACUAUUUAAAUUAAGUUGGCUACACGUCUGCUCUGCUUGAGCACUGAAGAGACUGAGCUGUAGAGUGUGUCUCCUCUAGCUCCUGGGAAGCUCUGCUCAUGCACCCUAAG